UACAGAGGGGGCAAGCGUUGUUCGGAAUUACUGGGCGUAAAGGGCGCGUAGGCGGCCAGCUAAGUCGGACGUGAAAUCCCUGGGCUCAACCCAGGAACUGCGUCCGAUACUGGUUGGCUUGAAUCCGGGAGAGGGACGUGGAAUUCCAGGUGUAGCGGUGAAAUGCGUAGAUAUCUGGAGGAACACCGGUGGCGAAGGCGGCUACCUGGCCCGCGAUUGACGCUGAGGCGCGAAAGCUAGGGGAGCAAACGGG
rnacentral:rRNA from 1 species